AUUUAAAUUCUACUAAACUUUCUACUUUAUUUAAUAUCCUAAUUCCAAUUCAACUUGUACUCUAAUAGUUACAAAAUGAAGUUUUUCCCGUAAACAUCAAAGGGCUCGGAAGAUGAAAGUACAGGCUUCUGCAAACAUCAAGCAGCAAGAUGUAGAAUCAAAUUAAAAUCCAGUGCUUGAACAAAAUACAACAAAAAUAAAUGAUGACAAUAUUUAUAAUUAAGUUAAUUUGUGCAUUCUAAGGCUUGCACCAAACUAAGUGAAGCAUAAAUAUUUAUAAGAAUAGAAGCUUACCGGUAC
rnacentral:misc_RNA from 1 species